AGCGACUGUGCAGGUUACCGCGGCUGCUGGCACGGAGUUAGCCGGUGCUUCUUCUGUGAGUGAUGUCCUUCCUGCCGGUUAUUGACCCGCAGGCCUUCUUCCUCACUGAAAGUGCUUUACAACCCGAAGGCCUUCUUCACACACGCGGCAUGGCUGGAUCAGGGUUGCCCCCAUUGUCCAAUAUUCCCCACUGCUGCCUCCCGUAGGAGUCUGGGCCGUGUCUCAGUCCCAGUGUGGCUGAUCAUCCUCUCAGACCAGCUACGGAUCGUCGCCUUGGUGAGCCGUUACCUCACCAACCAGCUAAUCCGACAUAGGCUCAUCCGAUAGCGCGAGGCCCGAAGGUCCCCCGNUUUCCCCCGUAGGGCGUAUGCGGUAUUAGCCUGGGUUUCCCCAGGUUAUCCCCCACUACCGGGCAGAUUCCUAUGCAUUACUCACCCGUCCGCCGCUCGCCACCAGGGAGCAAGCUCCCCGUGCUGCCGCUCGACUUGCAUGUGUUAGGCCUGCCGCCAGCGUUCAAU
rnacentral:rRNA from 1 species